rnacentral:lncRNA from 12 species
AUGUUUCAUUUUCUUUCUCUCCAGCAGGAAAACAGGAGAUGCUGGUGGCAAAAGUGGCAUUUCAAAACAGGCAAGUCCAGAACAGCAUCUAUUUCAGCACAUUUUCAUGUAAUUGAGAUCACAGUGCAAUCAUCCAGACUAUGUGUGUUUAUUCAGGAAGAAAACAUCAGCACAGCCGUGACUGAUCAGACGAGUGCAAAACCUCCAAAAACAGCCGAUCCAAAUGACUUAGUGUACGCCAGCAUCACUCACAGCAGACCCAGAGAACAGCAGAGAGCUGGAGAUGAAGACGAGGUUCAGUACGCCACUGUCCAGCACCACAGAAACACCAGAAACACGACUGCGGAGGCCGAAUGUCAGUAUGGAAACACUGCUUCUGCCGGAUCAAAUACUGAAAAGGCGGAAGAUUCUGAUGUGAUCUACAGCAGCAUCAAAUAUGCAUGAAGAAUCGGAGCAUCUGGUUACAUCACUGAACCUGCUCCUACAUUUUCAUUCAUUAAAAUCGGCAUUAAAUAGAAGUUGCCACUAAAAAGUGAUUCUGCUUAACAAACAAGACUUUAUUUUAUACAUCAAAUAGGCCUACAUUUGGACGGAUCGAUCACAGUAAGAUGCAUUAAGAAAAUAAACGGUGAAUUUAAAUUUUUACUUUUUGUUGAAAUGUGCUUGUGUGACUGUGUGCAGUGACUUUAAAUAAACAACACUUGUGUGAGAAACAGGACGUGAAACUAUAAGAGCUGUGAGAAAUCAUAUGCAAAACUUCCAUUUCUGAAUGGAGGAGAGGUUUCAUUACGCUGAAUAAACUGCUUUUGUGAGGAGACUUAAGUUUAACAUUUUCUUGUCGGCUAAUCUUUUCCAUUAAAUAUUUGUUUCUCUCAAAGCAAACAUGUUUCACAUAUUCGUACACAAGUCUUUAACAAUAGUGAUUCGGAUGCUGUAUUUAUUUGCCUUUAAAAUAUGCAUUUGUUUGUUUAUGUUAAUACUACGUUUAGAAGAGUUAAAAAUGUUGAGUAAACAAUAAAAUAAGGUAUAUUGUGUGUUUGGUGAAUGGUGGUUUGAUCAAUAUUGUUUAUCCUGUACAUAAUUAUGAGUGAAGCUCUUUAAACCAGUGCUUCUCAAUCAGGGGCCUCAGAGAUCCUCCAGGCCUGAGGUAAGUGUGCAGUCAGUUCUAAAGCUGCUGCUUUAGUGCUGUUUUUGCACCCCACUGUGGUGCUGUUUGCUAUCGCAGCCAGGGGCUGAAAAAUCAGAAAAAAAAAAAUCACCAGUUCAGUCAUAAAUUAUAUUAUAUUAAAUUACUAUGGUUACCACUACAGCCACAACUGAGGCAGCUACCAGCUAUGUUAAUUAAUUUCUCACCUGAAUUAAAUAUUGUCAAAAGUUAUCAAUCAAUCAGAUUUCAUAGACAGAACUAUUUAGAUAUGGGUAAGAUGCACUAUUCCCUAAACCUAUAGAUUUGGAGACCAAAUAUAACCAUAUAAUGAAAUUUUCAUAUUUGCCAUAACAUUACUACAUUAUAUUCUAUGGGUUUAAUGCAUUUUCAGACAAUGCAAUGACAUAUAUCUAUCAUAUAACUGUAGUACCAUUGAAUGUAUAGCUAAUAUUAAGUGGAUUUUCAUGAAAAUCUGAACUGAAAACAAACACUGGAUUUAAAAAAAUAAUAAUAAUAAAAAUGAAACACUGAUGCUUUUAGAACAUUUAUUGUUAUAUAUUGCAUCAUUUACAUCUAUUUUAACAUUUGUUGUUGAUUUGAGGAGUUGUUACUUAUUAUUGCCAUCAUACCAACUGAGAAUUUGUUCCUAUGAUUUUAAAUUCAGUUGAGGUUUCUAUCUGACAUAUUAUGACAUAACAAUGAUGUUUUUAUAUAAAUCUUUAGGGCCAUAGGCUAUAAUAUGUUGCUUUUAGAUAAAUUGCUCAGAGACCAACCAGUUGGACCGAGGUUAUGUGCAAAUCAUCCAAGCACCCAAUUCCUGGCCAUUUCUAUUUCAUUAACAUUGCUAAAUAUUAUUAAACUGGAAAGAAAUUAAAGAUCCAUCUUUGAUUGUCAAAAGAAUACCAGGUUCAGUUCACUCAGCCAAUAAUAUUCCACGUAGUAAUUUCAACAGUCAGUUGUGGAGGUCUGAUUGGUUAAAGCUUUAUUUAUAGUACCUUUUAAAACAGUGUUAACAAAGUAGCCUAUUUUACAGAGAGAUGCAUAUGUGGAAAGAAAAGAUCAAAAUACAAGAGAUAUAGUAAAACAAAGUAGCUACAAUGACCAUUUUUGUUAAAACAAAAAUACAACAAUAAAAAAAACAAGGAAAGGCCCUGCAUAAAUCUGUUUUGAGACUACUUUUUAAAAGUGCAUAAUGAUAAACUUUGACAGUUUAAUUCAGGUGCGAAAAAGAAUUAAUGUAUAUAGCUCAUGAGCCCAGAGAUAUUUGAGCAUGCACAGGACACAGUUUGAGCAAGAGGAGAGACACGUUUUAAGUGCAAUCAAGUUAAUCAACACCAUAGUAUAAAUACAGCUCACUUACCUCUAUCCAUUGACGGUUUAUCAGCAUCUCUUUUCCACCUCAUCGCCUCACUUCGAGUUCAUUCUACAGUUAUACGGGGAGGGGGGUACUCUUGGUUUGGGCCAUUCCCGAGCUCGGAGCCCUUCCCCGGACAGCACGCCAAAUACGAAUUAUCAUACUUAAGCUAAUGAUAUGUAAGCGUGAACUCGUGAAUCAAAAAGAAACAGCACAUCUUCGGCGUCCGAUUAAUUCGAGCCCUUCCCGUUCCUUGAGUUCUCUCUUUGGCUCAUGUACAUAGCGGAAACCCUGAUUAAACCUCUGUUUACCGAUGUCGCCUUUCAUAGAGAUAGUGAGGGGGACGGAUCGGGUCACUAUGAAAAGUUAAAAAUAAAGAACUGCCAUAUAUUGCAAACAGAUGCCUGACCAUAGAACAGAUUGCUUACAUGCAGUUGUGGUCAAAGUUUACAGGGAGGUUCUUUUGAGUGUUCGUUUUAUGGAAAGAAACCAGAAGACUUCUGGGACAGCUGCCAAUGGGUGAUGCAACAGGAAGAAAAAUACAUAUUGGCUGUGGAGAACAGGAAAAGCUGAUGGGCGUGAAUCUACACCCCCUGUCAGAGGAAUCUGACACUUCUUGAAGGGGCUGGAAUAGAGAAACAAUGCAGACAUGAAAAAUCUGCCAUGAGAGGCAGAGAGGAAGAUAACUGCAUCCUGAGUCAAAACUCUGAUGUCCGAUCAGAUCCUCAUCACUAAUUAACAGAACGGAAGACACUGCAUGAAGAGAAACACACUAGAACAGCCAAAACAUGUUCAACUGUCUGAUGAUAUCAGAGACUUUCAUCUUUUCCCUCGUGGGCAGGUACUGCAUAUACCAGUGUCACUACGGAGACCACCUCAGAUUUUGAUUUGUCAUAUUAAUUUGCAACUUGACAAUUCACUGGUCUUAUAGCAGUUCUUUGUAAUCUGUUCAACUAACAAC